rnacentral:rRNA from 1 species
GUCUAGGGCCAUGUCACCCUGAACAUGCCCAAUCUUGUCUGAUCUCGGAAGCAGGAUCGAGCCUGGUUAGUACUUAGAUGGGAAACCACCUAGGAAUACCAGGUGCUCUAGGUG